UAGAGGCAGUGGAGACAGGAACAGAGCCAAGGUGACGGAGGCGGGAGGCAGGAGCGGAGUCA
rnacentral:sRNA from 1 species